UACGAAGGGGGCUAGCGUUGUUCGGAUUUACUGGGCUUAAAGCGUGUGUAGGCGGAUCCGUAAGUACCUUGUGAAAUCCCACGGCUCAACCGUGGAACUGCUUGGUAUACUGCGGGUCUUGAGCCACCUAGGGGCGAGCGGAACAAGUGGUGGAGCGGUGAAAUGCGUAGAUAUCACUUGGAACGCCAAUGGUGAAACAGCUCGCUGGGGUGUGCUGACGCUGAGACACGAAAGCCAGGGAGCAAACGGG
rnacentral:rRNA from 1 species